rnacentral:rRNA from 1 species
AGCGAACGCUGGCGGCAGGCCUAACACAUGCAAGUCGAACGAACCUUUCGGGGUUAGUGGCGGACGGGUGAGGAACACGUGGGAACGUGCCUUUAGGUUCGGAAUAACUCAGGGAAACUUGUGCUAAUACCGAAUGUGCCCUUCGGGGGAAAGAGUUAUCGCCUUUAGAGCGGCCCGCGUCUGAUUAGCUAGUUGGUUGAGGUAAUGGCUCACCAAGGCGACGAUCAGUAGCUGGUCUGAGAGGAUGAUCAGCCACAUUGGGACUGAGACACGGCCCAAACUCCUACGGGAGGCAGCAGUGGGGAAUAUUGCGCAAUGGGCGAAAGCCUGACGCAGCCAUGCCGGGUGAAUGAUGAAGGUCUUAGGAUUGUAAAAUUCUUUCACCGGGGACGAUAAUGACGGUACCCGGAGAAGAAGCCCCGGCUAACUUCGUG